AAAAAAGGGAAUGAAGUUCUCCCGUAACCGUCAAGGUUAAAACCGCUUAUGAGCUGAUGACUUCUGCAUUUA
rnacentral:ncRNA from 1 species